GCUUCUUUCCUCCCGAGUGCUUGCACUCAAUUGGAAAGAGGAGUGGCGGACGGGUGAGUAACACGUGGGUAACCUACCCAUCAGAGGGGGAUAACACUUGGAAACAGGUGCUAAUACCGCAUAACAGUUUAUGCCGCAUGGCAUAAGAGUGAAAGGCGCUUUCGGGUGUCGCUGAUGGAUGGACCCGCGGUGCAUUAGCUAGUUGGUGAGGUAACGGCUCACCAAGGCCACGAUGCAUAGCCGACCUGAGAGGGUGAUCGGCCACACUGGGACUGAGACACGGCCCAGACUCCUACGGGAGGCAGCAGUAGGGAAUCUUCGGCAAUGGACGAAAGUCUGACCGAGCAACGCCGCGUGAGUGAAGAAGGUUUUCGGAUCGUAAAACUCUGUUGUUAGAGAAGAACAAGGACGUUAGUAACUGAACGUCCCCUGACGGUAUCUAACCAGAAAGCCACGGCUAACUACGUGCCAGCAGCCGCGGUAAUACGUAGGUGGCAAGCGUUGUCCGGAUUUAUUGGGCGUAAAGCGAGCGCAGGCGGUUUCUUAAGUCUGAUGUGAAAGCCCCCGGCUCAACCGGGGAGGGUCAUUGGAAACUGGGAGACUUGAGUGCAGAAGAGGAGAGUGGAAUUCCAUGUGUAGCGGUGAAAUGCGUAGAUAUAUGGAGGAACACCAGUGGCGAAGGCGGCUCUCUGGUCUGUAACUGACGCUGAGGCUCGAAAGCGUGGGGAGCAAACAGGAUUAGAUACCCUGGUAGUCCACGCCGUAAACGAUGAGUGCUAAGUGUUGGAGGGUUUCCGCCCUUCAGUGCUGCAGCAAACGCAUUAAGCACUCCGCCUGGGGAGUACGACCGCAAGGUUGAAACUCAAAGGAAUUGACGGGGGCCCGCACAAGCGGUGGAGCAUGUGGUUUAAUUC
rnacentral:rRNA from 1 species